AGCAGCCGCGGUAAUUCCAGCUCCAAUAGCGUAUAUUAAAGUUGUUGCAGUUAAAAAGCUCGUAGUUGAAUUUCGGGGUCAAUAAGUUGGUCGUGCCAAUGGUAUGUACUGGCUUUAUUGAUUCCUACCUCUUGACGAACUGUGAUGCCAUUAAUUUGGUGUUGCAGGAAAUCAGGACUGUUACCUUGAAAAAUUAGAGUGUUUAAAGCAGGCUUACGCUUGAAUACAUUAGCAUGGAAUAAUGAAAUAGGACGUUUGAACCUAUUUUGUUGGUUUCUAGGAUCGACGUAAUGAUUAAUAGGGAUAGUUGGGGGCAUUAGUAUUCAAUUGUCAGAGGUGAAAUUCUUGGAUUUAUUGAAGACUAACUACUGCGAAAGCAUUUGCCAAGGAUGUUUUCAUUAAUCAAGAACGAAAGUUAGGGGAUCGAAGACGAUCAGAUACCGUCGUAGUCUUAACCAUAAACUAUGCCGACUAGGGAUCGGAUGAUGUUAAUUUUUUAAUGUACUCAUUCGGCGUCCUU
rnacentral:rRNA from 1 species